rnacentral:tRNA from 1 species
GCCGUGGUAGCUCAGCAGGGAGAGCGCCAGACUGAAGAUCUGGAGGCCGCCGGUUCAAUCCCGGCCCACGGCA